UACAGCCACAUCAUGGUGAAACACGAGUUCCUGUAUGAUCCCCAGAGUUAAGCAACAUUGAGCCUGGUCAGUGCUUAGAUGGGUGACUGCUUGGAAAUAUUAGAUGCUGUAAU